rnacentral:tRNA from 1 species
GGGAAUGUAGCUUAGUGGUAGAGCAUGUGCAAGGUCCUGGGUUCAAUCCCAAGUACUGCCA